rnacentral:rRNA from 1 species
UACGUAGGGUGCAAGCGUUGUCCGGAAUUAUUGGGCGUAAAGAGCUCGUAGGCGGUUUGUCGCGUCUGCUGUGAAAACUCGGGGCUCAACUCCGAGCUUGCAGUGGGUACGGGCAGACUAGAGUGCGGUAGGGGAGACUGGAAUUCCUGGUGUAGCGGUGGAAUGCGCAGAUAUCAGGAGGAACACCGGUGGCGAAGGCGGUUCUCUGGGCCUUACCUGACGCUGAGGAGCGAAAGCGUGGGGAGCGAACAGG